CCUACGGGAGGCAGCAGUGGGGAAUUUUGGACAAUGGGCGCAAGCCUGAUCCAGCAAUGCCGCGUGAGUGAAGAAGGCCUUCGGGUUGUAAAGCUCUUUUGUCAGGGAAGAAACGGUGGGAGCUAAUAUCUCCCGCUAAUGACGGUACCUGAAGAAUAAGCACCGGCUAACUACGUGCCAGCAGCCGCGGUAAUACGUAGGGUGCAAGCGUUAAUCGGAAUUACUGGGCGUAAAGCGUGCGCAGGCGGUUUUGUAAGUCUGUCGUGAAAGCCCCGGGCUCAACCUGGGAAUUGCGAUGGAGACUGCAAGGCUUGAAUCUGGCAGAGGGGGGUAGAAUUCCACGUGUAGCAGUGAAAUGCGUAGAGAUGUGGAGGAACACCGAUGGCGAAGGCAGCCCCCUGGGUCAAGAUUGACGCUCAUGCACGAAAGCGUGGGGAGCAAACAGGAUUAGAUACCCUGGUAGUCCGCGCCCUAAACGAUGUCUACUAGUUGUCGGGUUUUAAUUAACUUGGUAACGCAGCUAACGCGUGAAGUAGACCGCCUGGGGAGUACGGUCGCAAGAUUAAAACGUCAAAGGAUUGACGG
rnacentral:rRNA from 1 species